CAUGACCCGGUUACCUUCUCCCCCAACCCAGAGGCAGCAACACAAACGCUCCCCCUUUUUCCUCAAAAUAAUACACUCAACAGCAGUAGCAGGUCUUCCCCCUUUUCCCAACAUAACGCAACACACACGGCUUUCCAUUCCCAUGAAAGAAAGAAAUUGAGGCAGAGAGGGAGAUGGAGCUUGAGAAGGGAGAUUGGGCAGAGAGGGAAGGGCUGCACUGUGACCACCGCCCAGCCGUCGCGCCGCCUUGGGGUCCGCCGUCAGGUCCGAGUCGAAGGAAGGGAGAAGCCGCUCUGUCAGCGUCGCGCAGAGAGGGACUCGCCGCCAGCUCCGUCGUCCUCACUGCUGCGCCACCGUCGGGCCCGCAAUCGUGGAGGAAGCACAGCGCCACCAUGGGUCCUUUUCUGUCGAACUCGAAGGAGGAGGAAGGCCGAUACUGGGCAACGCUGGGAGAGAAGGAGACGCGAGCUGGAGGAGCUGCGUCCAGUCGCCGCCGACGCGCCAUUGACCGCCGCUGUUCUGCCGCGCCGAGGGUCCCUUUCCUGCUAGAUCUGCUGCCAUGAAACCCCGCAGUGCCUCUGGUUGCCGGAAAACGGUAGUGGAUGUUGGUGCUGGGUUAGCGCCGCCACUGCUGCUGGCCGUUUCGAGUUGCUCCGCCGUCUCUGCCACCGGAAAAUCACUGCCGUCGCGGUUGUCGGAGUCUUUCAUCGCCGCUGCCGCUUGAGGUGGUUGACGGAGUCGCUGCCAGGUUGAUAUGGAGCUGCGGCUGUUUCGUUUCGCUAGCUCAUGUUGCUAUAGUUAUUGCGGACGUGACUGGGAGCUAAGGUUUUGGUUGCCGUCAGUUUGGGUUGAGGCGGAAAGGACCCUGUGACGCGUUUGGGCUAUGGUUUUACGUUGAGGAUAUGGGCGCAGAAGUCACGAAGAGUUUA